AUUGAACGCUGGCGGCAUGCUUUACACAUGCAAGUCGAACGGCAGCGCGGGCUUCGGCCUGGCGGCUAGUGGCGAACGGGUGAGUAAUGCAUCGGAACGUGCCCAGUAGUGGGGUAUAGCCCGGCGAAAGCCGGAUUAAUACCGCAUCCGACCUGAGGGUGAAAGCGGGGGACCGAAAGGCCUCUCGCCAUUGGAGCGGCCGACGUCGGGUUAGCUAGUUGGUGGGGUAAAGGCUUACCAAGGCGACGAUCCGUAGCUGGUCUGAGAGGACGACCAGCAACACUGGGACUUAGACACGGCCCAGACUCCUACGGGAGGCAGCAGUGGGGAAUUUUAGACAAUAGGGGCAAGCCUGAUCCAGCCAUACCGCAUGCGGGAAGAAGGCCUUCGGGCUGUAAACCGCUUUUGUUCGGGAAGAAAUCCUAUGGGCUAAUACCCCGGGGGGAUGACGGUACCGGAAGAAUAAGCACCGGCUAACUACGUG
rnacentral:rRNA from 1 species